rnacentral:rRNA from 1 species
AUUGAACGCUGGCGGCAGGCCUAACACAUGCAAGUCGAACGGUAACAGGAAGAAGCUUGCUUCUUUGCUGACGAGUGGCGGACGGGUGAGUAAUGUCUGGGAAACUGCCUGAUGGAGGGGGAUAACUACUGGAAACGGUAGCUAAUACCGCAUAACGUCGCAAGACCAAAGAGGGGGACCUUCGGGCCUCUUGCCAUCGGAUGUGCCCAGAUGGGAUUAGCUAGUAGGUGGGGUAACGGCUCACCUAGGCGACGAUCCCUAGCUGGUCUGAGAGGAUGACCAGGCACACUGGAACUGAGACAAGGUCCAGACUCCUAAGGGAGGCAGCAGUGGGGAAUAUUUCACCAUGGGCGCAAGCCUGAUGCCGGCAUGCCGCGUGUAUGAAGAAGGCCUUCGGGUUGUAAAGUACUUUCAGCGGGGAGGAAGGGAGUAAAGUUAAUACCUUUGCUCAUUGACGUUACCCGCAGAAGAAGCACCGGCUAACUCCGUG